rnacentral:ncRNA from 5 species
CAUUGUCAGGUGGGGAGUUUGGCU